rnacentral:rRNA from 2 species
CUUAGGCGUGUGACUGCGUACCUUUUGUAUAAUGGGUCAGCGACUUAUAUUCUGUAGCAAGGUUAACCGAAUAGGGGAGCCGAAGGGAAACCGAGUCUUAACUGGGCGUUAAGUUGCAGGGUAUAGACCCGAAACCCGGUGAUCUAGCCAUGGGCAGGUUGAAGGUUGGGUAACACUAACUGGAGGACCGAACCGACUAAUGUUGAAAAAUUAGCGGAUGACUUGUGGCUGGGGGUGAAAGGCCAAUCAAACCGGGAGAUAGCUGGUUCUCCCCGAAAGCUAUUUAGGUAGCGCCUCGUGAAUUCAUCUCCGGGGGUAGAGCACUGUUUCGGCAAGGGGGUCAUCCCGACUUACCAACCCGAUGCAAACUGCGAAUACCGGAGAAUGUUAUCACGGGAGACACACGGCGGGUGCUAACGUCCGUCGUGAAGAGGGAAACAACCCAGACCGCCAGCUAAGGUCCCAAAGUCAUGGUUAAGUGGGAAACGAUGUGGGAAGGCCCAGACAGCCAGGAUGUUGGCUUAGAAGCAGCCAUCAUUUAAAGAAAGCGUAAUAGCUCACUGGUCGAGUCGGCCUGCGCGGAAGAUGUAACGGGGCUAAACCAUGCAC